rnacentral:rRNA from 2 species
AAGCGGUGAGUGCUUUGGGGUGGGGUGACUGCGUACCUUUUGUAUAAUGGGUCAGCGACUUAUAUUCUGUAGCAAGGUUAACCGUAUAGGGGAGCCGAAGGGAAACCGAGUCUUAACUGGGCGUUAAGUUGCAGGGUAUAGACCCGAAACCCGGUGAUCUAGCCAUGGGCAGGUUGAAGGUUGGGUAACACUAACUGGAGGACCGAACCGACUAAUGUUGAAAAAUUAGCGGAUGACUUGUGGCUGGGGGUGAAAGGCCAAUCAAACCGGGAGAUAGCUGGUUCUCCCCGAAAGCUAUUUAGGUAGCGCCUCGUGAACUCAUCUUCGGGGGUAGAGCACUGUUUCGGCUAGGGGGUCAUCCCGACUUACCAACCCGAUGCAAACUGCGAAUACCGAAGAAUGUUAUCACGGGAGACACACGGCGGGUGCUAACGUCCGUCGUGAAGAGGGAAACAACCCAGACCGCCAGCUAAGGUCCCAAAGUCACAGUUAAGUGGGAAACGAUGUGGGAAGGCUCAGACAGCCAGGAUGUUGGCUUAGAAGCAGCCAUCAUUUAAAGAAAGCGUAAUAGCUCACUGGUCGAGUCGGCCUGCGCGGAAGAUGUAACGGGGCUAAACUGUGCACCGAAGCUGCGGCAGCGACGCUUAUGCGUUGUUGGGUAGGGGAGCGUUCUGUAAGCCUGCGAAGGUGUCCUGUGAGGGAUGCUGGAGGUAUCAGAAGUGCGAAUGCUGACAUAAGUAACGAUAA